GACACCUACAUUUUUCGGGUUUAUGCGGAAGGGGGGAGAGGGGGGAGAACAAAACGAGAAAAAACAAAAACAAAAACAAAAAACAAACAAAAAAGGAAAUCAAAUAUAAAAUCGCUAUUCCUCGGGAGGGGUGGGGUGGGGGAGGUUAUUUGCAUCUCAACGAAGCUCUGCGGUUAGGAACAGACAGUCCCGGCCAGACACCAAGCCCCCAGCACAGCUCUGAAGCUCUCCGGACAGUCACUUGCCGCCGAAGUUUGGGUAGGCUCGCCUCCACGUUCCCCCACCCCCCUGGAAAGACCACAGAAGCUGGUUUCACACCCAUUCCAUUUGUGAACUUGGUCACAUCAGAGGUCUCAGCUGCUUUGUGUUCAAAAGAACCAAGGAAGGCAGAGCCCUGGCCGGAGUCAGAGAAUUCCCAUUCCUGUCUGCAGCAUAUAAAAACUGUAACUGCUUUACAGUCGCAGCAGAGGCUGACAAAAAGCCAUUGCUAAAGAAGCCACAGUGCCCUGGAAGUGUAUCGCUCAGUGUCAUAUUUAGGCCACUGCUAAAGGCCACUGGCGUGACUUCAUUGAAAGCAUGACAAUUACAUAAUCAUUUCAGGAUGUUAAAAUGCACAGAACCUCCAAAUCUCUUGGCUUGCCAGGGUAACUGCACCUGCAGCUUUCUGAAGCUCUGGCAAAUAUCAGGGAGCUUCUCCCUGUGGCCACCUCAUUAUAGACACAGAGAGUGAGACUCUUGUGGCUGCCAAGUACAGCAAUGAAAGGAAGCUCAACAGUAUGGAAGCAGAAGAGCCUGAAAUGUGGUCCUCACACCCGCAGCUAACUGUAGACUGUUCUCAUGCCUGUGUGUAGGGGGCGUGACUCAACCUUCUCCGAGCCUUGCAGCCCUGAGCCAAGAAAAAGCACCUGAACAGAAAAACUUUCAUUCUUAUGCUGCUGGUAAAAUGAAAAUUUAAACAGUGUGAUGUGAAAGGAAAGCAUUCCCCCAGAAGCUGAAGAGGCAAAGUACCACUAAGCUACUGUGAGAAAGAAUGCCCACUCUGAUGUGGGUCCUUCUAAGUAUGCUCCAAUGAGUCCCUCCGCCUGUCCCAGGAACAGCACACAGCUCCAGAACAUUGUAUUUCAUGGCCUUUCAUUGGCCCCUUUGGCAAGACCAGUUCUAACUAAAGUCAGUCACUUCCCUGCCCUGUUGAGCGUGAUCUGGCUUUAACAUGACUCCAGGGCUGUUGGAAGCAGUAAGCCCUGCCCUUUCCCCUCCUGGGAAGCACCUGAACUGUCAUGGCAUAGUUUGUAUUGUGUCUAGUUCUCCAGACACACUGAAGAGACCCCCUUUUCACAUCCACACUGUCCCGGACAUCUAGCACCUGGAUGGGCACAGAGUGAUAUAUAGAAACACAGUGCUUUGGUUUGAAUGUGAAAUGUCCCCCAAAGGCAGUAUGUUCAAUAUGUUUGAACUCAUAUUCCCCAUUUGGUGGCCCUGACUGGGGAAGCUGUGUGGUCUUAAGGGCACACAGCUAGUGGAUGAGGUCAUCAGAGGCAGGAUUUGAGGGUUGAACCCUAAUGUUUCUUUCCAGAGGACAUGUUAUAAAAAGUAGCCACUGUUAACUUAUACCACAAAGAACUAAGGAGAGCUAAGCAUGAAGUGUUUCCCCUUACGAUGGAAUGUACACUCUAAACUGUGAGCCAAAAUAAAUCCUG